rnacentral:rRNA from 1 species
AUUGAACGCUGGCGGCAGGCUUAACACAUGCAAGUCGAACGAGUGGCGGACGGGUGAGUAAUGUCUGGGAAACUGCCUGAUGGAGGGGGAUAACUACUGGAAACUGUCGCUAAUACCGCAUACCAUCGGAUGAGCCCAGAUGGGAUUAGUUAGUUGGUGGGGUAAUGGCUCACCAAGGCGAAGAUCCCUAGCUGGUCUGAGAGGAUGACCAGCCACACUGGAACUGAGACACGGUCCGGACUCCUACGGGAGGAAUCAGUGGGGAAUAUUGCACAAUGGGCGCAAGCCUGAUGCAGCCAUGCCGAGUGUAUGAAGAAGGCCUUCGGGUUGGAAAGUACUUUCAGUGAGGAGGCGUUACUCGCAGAAGAAGCACCGGCUAACUCCGUGCCAGCAGCCGCGGUAAUAC